GGAGAGAAUCCUAAGGCCGACGGGAGAAGCGUUGUUAAGGAACUCGGCAAAAUGACCCCGUAACUUCGGGAGAAGGGGUGCCUGCUUAGGCAGGCCGCAGAGAAUAGGCCCAAGCGACUGUUUAGCAAAAACACAGGUCUCUGCAAAACCGAGAGGUGAAGUAUAGGGGCUGACGCCUGCCCGGUGCUGGAAGGUUAAGGGGAAUGGUUAGCACUUGAUGCGAAGCUAUGAACUUAAGCCCCAGUAAACGGCGGCCGUAACUAUAACGGUCCUAAGGUAGCGAAAUUCCUUGUCGGGUAAGUUCCGACCCGCACGAAAGGCGUAACGAUUUGGGCACUGUCUCGACAACGCGCCCGGUGAAGUUGUAGUACCGGUGAAGAUGCCGGUUACCCGCGACAGGACGGAAAGACCCCAUGGAGCUUUACUCUAGCUUGAUAUUGGGAUUCGAUAUUACAUGUACAGGAUAGGAGGGAGGCUAUGAAGCGAGAACGCCAGUUUUCGUGGAGCCGCUGUUGGGAUACCUCUCUUGUAGUAUUGGAUUUCUAACCAUGCACCCUCAACGGGUGUUGGGACACUGUCAGGUGGGGAGUUUGACUGGGGCGGUCGCCUCCGAAAGGGUAUCGGAGGCGCUCAAAGGUCCUCUCAGAAUGGUUGGAAAUCAUUCGCAGAGUGCAAAGGCAUAAGAGGGCUUGACUGUGACACCGACGGGUGGAGCAGGUACGAAAGUAGGACUUAGUGAUCCGGUGGUAGAAAGUGGGAUUGCCAUCGCUCAACGGAUAAAAGCUACCCUGGGGAUAACAGGCUUAUCACUCCCAAGAGUUCACAUCGACGGAGUGGUUUGGCACCUCGAUGUCGGCUCAUCGCAUCCUGGGGCUGUAUUCGGUCCCAAGGGUUGGGCUGUUCGCCCAUUAAAGCGGUACGCGAGCUGGGUUCAGAACGUCGUGAGACAGUUCGGUCCCUAUCCGUCGUGGGCGCAAGAUAUUUGAGAGGAGCUGUCCUUAGUACGAGAGGACCGGGAUGGACUGACCUCUGGUGUAUCUGUUGUCUUACCAAAGGCAUAGCAGAGUAGCCAAGUCGGGAAGGGAUAAACGCUGAAGGCAUCUAAGCGUGAAGCCCCCCUCAAGAUAAGAUAUCUCAUCCGAAAGGAGUAAGACCCCUGGAAGACUACCAGGUUGAUAGGUCAAGGGUGUACGCAUGGCAACAUGUUCAGCUGAUUGAUACUAAUAGGUCGAGGGCUUGAACAA
rnacentral:rRNA from 1 species